AUAAUUUUAAUAUUGGCUUAAUAAAAAUGUUAAAUCUGUUCUUAUCAGUUUAAUAUCUGAUAUGUCCUUUAUUUGAGGACUGUAUAUUAAAUUGAUUUUUGAGACAGGGAGCUGGAAUAGGAGCAUGCUCUGUCCACACCAUGCACUGACCUGGUAUUGCAGUGCCUCUAGGAAUGGUGCAUCUCCU
rnacentral:snRNA from 1 species